rnacentral:rRNA from 1 species
GAUGAACGCUGGCGGCGUGCCUAAUACAUGCAAGUCGAGCGAACAGACGAGGAGCUUGCUCCUCUGACGUUAGCGGCGGACGGGUGAGUAACACGUGGAUAACCUACCUUUAAGACUGGGAUAACUUCGGGAAACCGGAGCUAAUACCGGAUAAUAUAUUGAACCGCUUGGUUCAAUAGUGAAAGACGGUUUUGCUGUCACUUAUAGAUGGAUCCGCGCCGCAUUAGCUAGUUGGUAAGGUAACGGCUUACCAAGGCAACGAUGCGUAGCCGACCUGAGAGGGUGGUCGGGCAGACUGGAAGUGAGAAACGGUCCAGACUCCUACGGGAGGCAGCAGUAGGGAAUCUUCCGCAAAGGACGAGUGCCUGACGGAGCAACGUCGCGGGAGUGAUGAAGGUCUUCGGAUCGUAAAGCUCUGUAAUUAGGGAAGAACAAAUGUGUAAGUAACUAUGCACGUCUUGACGGUACCUAAACAGAAAGCCACGGCUAACUACGUG